AGAGUUUGAUCCUGGCUCAGGAUGAACGCUAGCGGCAGGCUUAACACAUGCAAGUCGAGGGGUAGGAGAAGCUUGCUUCUCUGAGACCGGCGCACGGGUGCGUAACGCGUAUGCAAUCUACCUUUCACAAAGGGAUAGCCCAGAGAAAUUUGGAUUAAUACCUUAUAGUAUAUCGAGUUGGCAACAACAUGAUAUUAAAGAUUUAUCGGUGAAAGAUGAGCAUGCGUCCCAUUAGCUAGUUGGUAUGGUAACGGCAUACCAAGGCUACGAUGGGUAGGGGUCCUGAGAGGGAGAUCCCCCACACUGGUACUGAGACACGGACCAGACUCCUACGGGAGGCAGCAGUGAGGAAUAUUGGACAAUGGGCGCAAGCCUGAUCCAGCCAUGCCGCGUGCAGGAUGACGGUCUUAUGGAUUGUAAACUGCUUUUAUACAGGAAGAAACACCUCUACGUGUAGAGACUUGACGGUACUGUAAGAAUAAGGAUCGGCUAACUCCGUGCCAGCAGCCGCGGUAAUACGGAGGAUCCAAGCGUUAUCCGGAAUCAUUGGGUUUAAAGGGUCCGUAGGCGGUCAGGUAAGUCAGUGGUGAAAGCCCAUCGCUCAACGGUGGAACGGCCAUUGAUACUGUCUGACUUGAAUUAUUAGGAAGUAACUAGAAUAUGUAGUGUAGCGGUGAAAUGCUUAGAGAUUACAUGGAAUACCAAUUGCGAAGGCAGGUUACUACUAAUUGAUUGACGCUGAUGGACGAAAGCGUGGGUAGCGAACAGGAUUAGAUACCCUGGUAGUCG
rnacentral:rRNA from 1 species